rnacentral:rRNA from 1 species
AGUCGACGAUGAAGCCUUUCGGGGUGGAUUAGUGGCGAACGGGUGAGUAACACGUGGGCAAUCUGCCCUUCACUCUGGGACAAGCCCUGGAAACGGGGUCUAAUACCGGAUAACACUCUGUCCCGCAUGGGACGGGGUUAAAAGCUCCGGCGGUGAAGGAUGAGCCCGCGGCCUAUCAGCUUGUUGGUGGGGUAAUGGCCUACCAAGGCGACGACGGGUAGCCGGCCUGAGAGGGCGACCGGCCACACUGGGACUGAGACACGGCCCAGACUCCUACGGGAGGCAGCAGUGGGGAAUAUUGCACAAUGGGCGAAAGCCUGAUGCAGCGACGCCGCGUGAGGGAUGACGGCCUUCGGGUUGUAAACCUCUUUCAGCAGGGAAGAAGCGAAAGUGACGGUACCUGCAGAAGAAGCGCCGGCUAACUACGUGCCAGCAGCCGCGGUAAUACGUAGGGCGCAAGCGUUGUCCGGAAUUAUUGGGCGUAAAGAGCUCGUAGGCGGCUUGUCACGUCGGAUGUGAAAGCCCGGGGCUUAACCCCGGGUCUGCAUUCGAUACGGGCUAGCUAGAGUGUGGUAGGGGAGAUCGGAAUUCCUGGUGUAGCGGUGAAAUGCGCAGAUAUCAGGAGGAACACCGGUGGCGAAGGCGGAUCUCUGGGCCAUUACUGACGCUGAGGAGCGAAAGCGUGGGGGAGCGAACAGGAUUAGAUACCCUGGUAGUCCACGCCGUAAACGUUGGGAACUAGUGUUGGCGACAUUCCACGUCGUCGGUGCCGCAGCUAACGCAUUAAGUUCCCCG